UUCUAGAGAGGAAUAUUUUUGGAUUUUUGAGGAAACUUCUAGGUUUGGGGUAUAAAAGGGGGGUCCUCUGAUUGAUUUUGGAGAGGAUAUUUUGGGGAGAUAUUUUUUCAGAGGUUGUUUUUGAGAGAAUUUUUUUCGAAAGUUUGGAGAGGUAAACAAAAACAUUUCUAGAGUUCUUGGUUGAUCAGUGUUCUAAAGUUUCCUUCUUCUUUUGGAUUGCUCUUUUUCUUUUUCACAUAUCAGAAUAGUAUAUAUAU
rnacentral:lncRNA from 1 species